GAUGCUGCAGCACUGAGCACAGUGGCGAUGUGACCUACAUUCCCGCGAGGAAGGAGCUCCCCGUCCCGGGCACACGCUGGCCUUUCGCUGCAGCCACGCCAUGAAGCGGCGCAAGUGAAGCGAAGGCCGUCACCACGUCAGGCCACGUGCGGGAGGCGGCGGGACAUGGCCAGCUCAGCACCAUGGCUGCACUGGACGGAAAGGGACCUGGGCAGUGGCUCCCGGGAGCCGAAGCACUGGGAGGAAGAGGAGGAGGAGGAUUUUGAAGAACACAUGGAUGAGAACGGAGUCAUUGGCCUGGAGGACGAGCUCGCGGCUGUCGCCGGCCGGCCGAGGAGCUCCUGUUUCACAGACGUGCUCAGCCGACAGGUCCUGGAUCCCCCCGCUCAUGCCAGGAGUUUCAGCCUCGGCAAGCUGCAGGAAUUUGGUCUGGAGGAGUCGGGCACGGACGGGGAGGACGCCAGGAGCCCACCGUUGGGGGACGGCGAGGACCCGGGUGAUGGGACGCAGGAGGACCUGGCUUACUGGCACCCGCGGGAGGAAGUGACUGUGGAGGACGAGGAGCAGGGCAGCUUGGGGGAUGAGGAGAGGCCGGAGGGGACCUGGGGGGCCGAGAGUGACGGGGAGGCCUACCCCGAGCUCUCCUACGAGGGCCAGUGCGGCUCUGAGUGCAGCGGCAGCCCCGAGGUGCCGCAGGAUGGCCCAGCUCUCCGUGUGCUCUCCGAGAAAUCACUCAGCUUCAGCACGGACGGCAGGGAGACGUCGGCACCUUCGGACAUCAGCCCCGGCCCUUCCCCGCUGGGCCGGAGAGCGUCCAGCGGAGCCUCCGGGAUCCCCUCGGACAGCAGCCCCCGGCAGAGCCCGCCUGCCGGCUCCGGCCACUGGAGCCUGAGCCGGAGCCUCCUGCUGCACCUCUCGGCCGACGACCUCCGCGACGCCCCCAGCAUCGAGGCAGAGCCCUUCCCUGAGUCCAGCGCCGAGAGCGGCGAGGAGCCGCCCGGGACGGAGCCGCCGGCCACUGCCGGGGGGUCGGCGCCCGCCAGGGAGCGCCGGGGCGGCGGGACCCCUGCUCCCCCACAGUGCCGGGGUGGCCGGCCGUGCGGCGGGCCUCGGGCGGCCGGGGACGCGGCGGCAGCACGGCGGGCGCCCGAGCUCGGCCGUCAGUCCAGGUCGCUGAGCCCCCGGCGCCCCGCCAAGGCCUCGCCCAAACCCGAUGGCCGCGGGGCGGCCGAAAGCCCGCGGUACGGCCGCGGGCCGCUCAACUACCCGCUGCCUGACCUCUCCAAGGUGGAGCCGCGGGUGAAGUUCGACCGGAGCUACCGGCCGCCCCGCGGCAGAGUCCUGCCCGCCCGGGCGGCCCCUGUCGUCGUCGCGGUCAAGUCGCCGGCCGAGAUCGUG
rnacentral:lncRNA from 1 species